CCUACGGGUGGCAGCAGUGAGGAAUAUUGGUCAAUGGGCUUACGCCUGAACCAGCCAAGUCGCGUGAGGGAAGACUGCCCUAUGGGUUGUAAACCUCUUUUUUCAGGGAGCAACGCCGGCUACGUGUACCCGGACUGAGAGUACCUGAAGAAAACGCAUCGGCUAACUCCGUGCCAGCAGGCGCGGUACUACGGAGGAUGCGAGCGUUAUCCGGAUUUAUUGGGUUUAAAGGGUGCGUAGGCGGAAUGCCAAGUCAGCGGUAAAAUCGCGGGGCUCAACCUCGCUCCGCCGUUGAAACUGGCGUGCUUGAGUGGGAGAGAAGUAUGCGGAAUGCGUGGUGUAGCGGUGAAAUGCAUAGAUAUCACGCAGAACGCCGAUUGCGAAGGCAGCAUACGGGCGCCCAACUGACGCUGAAGCACGAAAGCGUGGGUAUCGAACAGGAUUAGAUACCCCAGUAGUC
rnacentral:rRNA from 1 species